CUGGUUGCCUGACAAAGCCUGUGAACGGAACACAUCUGUGGUUGGAGAAGAGCCACGAUCAAAGGGAUCAACUGCUCACAUUGGCGUCACAGUUUACAAAGUGGUGACACCUGUGUUCUCACUGAACCCUCUCAGACGUUAAUAGCCUCCACCGCCAUUGUCAAACCACACAUUAUUCAUUAUCUUUUCUCUUUCGAGAAGAAGCAACAGGCUCCGGGAGCUGAACCACUUUGCCAACCAUUCUAUCAGGUAAGUGGGGAAGAUGGGCCUGGAAUCCAGGACUCCUUUCCUUCCCCUUACUUCCAUUCUCUGUUCCCCGUGCCCAUGUGGGUUUUGGUAUAGAACCUUCUUACUUGGAACUGAUCCCCUUUGACAUUUGAAAUCCAAGGCUGUUGAAAGGAGAGGUGACGCCUCUUCCAUGGCCACCUCUCUCAAGGUAAAGCAAGUACACCAUCUUCCUAGUUGUCCCUUCCUUUCCUCACAUCACUACUUCCUCCUCCUUUUUUUUUUGGCUGCGCCAUGCACAGCAUGUGCAGCUUGUGGGAUCUUAGUUCCCUGACCAGGGAUUGAACCCACGGCCCCCUGCAGUGGAAGUGCGAAACCUUAACCACUGGACCACCAGGGAAGUCCCACUACUUUCUCCUUCAGGGCAGUCCCAUGCCCUGCAUUGGACAGCAGCCCAGGAUUUCAGUUUUCUGCCAUUUUGACAUUUUCUCUCCAAAUGCCCUCAGAGACCAUAUUUCCAAGAUGACUUAGAGAAAAAAUCACAAGGAUAGAAAAACCUGAAUUCUCUUUCCAUCUUAGUUAUUCCUGCUGUGUAACUUUGGAUGAGUGGCUUUACCUUUCUUGGCCUCAGUUUUCUCUUCUGUAAGAUUGGAGAUAUCACAGCCUACUCAUUCUCUUGUAUGAAGUUUAUAUGACUUGCCUAGCACAGGCCUAGUAUAUAGGAGAUACCCAGUAAAUGUUAAAUUUUUCCCUCCCUCUUUCUACUCUUCUGUUCUCUGUCUUCUUAAGUAGCAAGAGUGGGACUUCCCUGGUGGCCCAGUGGUUAAGAAUCCAUCUUGCAAUGCAGGGGACGCCCGUUUGAUCCCUGGUUGGGGAACUAAGAUCCCACAUACCACGGGACAACUAAGCCCAGGUGCUGCAACUACUGAGCCCGUGCACUCUGGAGCCCAUUGGCCACAACUAGAGAGAAGCUUGCCCACUGCAACAAAAGAUCCCGUGUGCUGCAACCUGACACAGCCAAUAAAUAAAUAAAUAUUUAAUAAAUAGCAAGAGUGACAUACGUGGUUGUUAAUAUCAUUACUAUUCCAGUACAUUUGAAAGUCCCUCCUCUCUUCCAUCUUAGGUGCUAUAGGGAAGUCACAUUCAAAGUCAAUUAUAUUGAGCAGUCGUUCUUGAGUCUGGUUCCGGAAGCAGCAGCAGCAGCAUACCCUGGGAACCUACUUGAAAUGCAGAUUUUCAGGCCCUACCUCACCAUACUGACUCAGAAGCUCUGGGGCUGGGCCCAGCCGUCCAUGGUUCAUCAAGCCCUCCAGCUGAUGUGGAUGCAUGCGCAGUUUGAGAACCGCUGGUCUACGUUUAAAAGCACAGGCUCUGCAGCCAGAUUGCAUGGGUUCCUUGCUAAAACCCCACUGACACCCUCCAAAGGUGUUCUAUAACAGGCAGAAAAAAAAUCUAGACUUUUUACUAAGAGCUCUAAACCCCCAUAAGAUUUUGUCCUUGGCUAAUUUUUCCAACUCCAUCUCCUACCACCGCUCUCCCCUGGAUGCAUCUCACUAGCCACAAUGGCCCUUUUCUUGUCCCUUGAACACACCAAACCCACUGCAGCCUUGGGAUUCAGUUACUAUUUUCUUUGCCUGGAUACACCUCCUCACUUUGCUCCCCCGUUUUUCUAGGCCUCUGCUGGAAUGUCACCUGUUCAGAAAGGUAUGUCAGCUAUUUUUACUUUCUUUUCCUUUAACUGUCCUUUAAGGGGUAGAUCUUUUCAGGACAAAUUCUAUUAGUUUUUCUUCAUCUGAGAAUGUCCUUUUUCCUCCAUUCCUGAACGAUAGUUUUGCCAGAUACAGAAUUUAACAGUUGUUUUCAUUCAGCCCUUGGAAAAAUGUCAUGUACUACUUUCUUCUGGCCUCCAUGGUUACAAACAAGAAAGAAGUGCGUUGUCAUGUGAAUUGGUGUUCCUCUGUAGGUAAUGUGUUGUUUCUAGCUGCUUUCAAGUUUGUUUCUUUGUCUUUAGUUUUCAGAAGUUGAAUUUAGAACGUGUCUUGCCGUGGAUUUUCUUGGCUUUAUCCUGUUCAGGAUUUUCUCAGCUUCUUGAAUCUGUCUUUUGCCAAAUUUGGGAAGUUUUUAGCUAUUAUUUCUUCAAAACCUCAUCCCCAUUCUCUCUCUUCUUUCCUAAGACUCUGAUAACAUAAAUGUUGGAACUUUUGUUAUGGUCCCAAAGGUCCCUGAGGCUUUGUUAAUUUUUGUUCAGAUUAUUAAAUUCUCUUGUUCUGUCCUCAAGUUCGCUGAUUUGGUCCCGUCAUUUCCAUCUGCUACUGAACCCUUCCAGUGAGGUGUUUUUGUUUUGUUUUGUUUUUUAAUUUCUGUUAAUGUACUUUUUAGUUGUAUAAUAUCUAUUUGGUUUUUUUAUUGUAACUUCCCUUUCUUUGCUGAAAUUUCAAUAUUGUCAUUAUUUCAAGAAGAUUUGGUAUUGAUUACCAAAGGCUUUGUAGGAUUCUGUCUUCAAUUCUUUCUGGAUAACAUUUGAUUCAUCUUGCUGUUAGCAUCAAUUCAUGGUCUCUUCUCAUUCAGGUGUUACUUCUCUGGUUCCUGGUCUGCCAGGUGAUUUUCCAUUGAAUCCUGAAUAUUUUGGCUAUUAUGUUAGGAGACUCUAGGUCCUAUUUAAAUCUUUAAUUUUAUCAGGUAGCCACUGGGUUAGGUUUAGAGUGCAGAUCCUGGCCUAUUUUCGUGGGAUGAGGUUCCAAUGACAAUAUAACGUUCAGAGGCUUUUCAGUGCUACUUUGAUCUGCUUAGUUUUUUUGGUGCCACUGGGGCUCCCAAGCCUCCAGCAGUGCUGCCUGAAGGAGCAGGAGAUUCCCCAGGCUACAGCCAUUUGGUGCAUCUAGGUGUGAGAGGGAAUCUCUGGCCCACUUCCACUAGCCACUGACUGUCAGGGGGCUCCCACACUGUCCACCUUGCCACUGGGCUAGCCUGGGCUUGUCAGCAGGACUCGCAUUAAAUCCAGGGAGAAUGAACUCUCCAGAGCCACCCUCUGUUGCUGGAUUCAGAGUUGGGGAACAUCGGGCCUGGGCUACCUUCUUCUGUCCUGAUGCUAUACUGCUCAUCCAGGCCUAGGGUCCCUAACCAAUUUGCUUUCUCUUUCCAACUUUCACAGUUCUCCCUCGUUUGACCUUUGUUGUGUUUUCUUUUGGUUUUUACCUCAGGUAUUACAGUUAUUCUUUGCAGAGAGGAGCCAGGAGAAACAAAUCUAAGCUUUCUUGUCUGUAUCUGGAGUCUCCUCAUUUAAUGUUACUAGAUUGGCUGGGUAUGAGUACCUUAAAUCAUAUAUACUUGACUUAGAACAGGUAUCCUAUUCAACUUCCAUUUUUGUAACCCUUUUAACUAUAAAGUAUGAAAAUCUUGCAAUGUCAAUGAGCAUAUAUGCUUGAAUCCUAGUAAAUGGCUCUGUAUUAUUUCAUUGUGUAGCUAACAUAAAGUCAUCUAUAAUUGAACUCCUAAGUGUAAGACUAUUUUUAAUCUCCCCAUUUCUAUCUUUUUCCUUUAUUUUUUAAAUUGAAAUUUUAAAUCCUUAAAAUUAUCGUGAGGGAAAUAAGACCUGCAAAGUUAAAGACUUAGAAUUAAGUGAUUCAAAAUAGUAUACCUGUUUCAUGGGGGCUAAAAUAUACCUACACAUGGAACAGAAUUCGGAACUCCAUGAAAGAGCUGGUGUCCAGAGAGUUGAUGUCACACAGCCUAUGGCCUGAUAGGCAUACACGUUGGAGCUGGACAGAGGCUGUGCUUCUAAAGUGAGCUCUUCAGCCUUGGAUCUUAAUUCCUCCUAACGGGGAUGAUUCGAUCCCUGUUUCUCAAAUUACAGGUUUGAUAAAAUAUCCUGUUCCCUAAAGUUUUUUUGUUCAAUUUUUUUCCAGUUGGCCUUCAUCCAGAUCUGGAUGGCUUAACUGUAGUAAGUAUGUUUAGCAGUAGAAUUGUUUAUGCUUCUUUCCUGGCUCACGUUCCCCAAUUGCAUUGUGUUAGAUUAAGCAAAUUGCUUAUUCCAGACAAACCGGAUUUCCUGGGAGGAUUUAGGGGGGAAAACGGCAGAAAGGCCUCUGGUCUCCUGUUGAGACAGAAUGAGGGACAAAGUCUCCUAGAAUCUCCUUAAACCAUGAGAUGGCAUGACAGCUGUCAGUGGGAGAAUUAAAAACUUUCUUUCCUUAAAACAUAAUCACUUAUGAAAUGGGUUUGUGUAUUCUAUUACACAGCAUGAUAUUUUUAAAAAAGUCUUUCCCUUAGUCAUUCCCAUAAAACAGAAUUUUUAAGUUUGCUGAACAGCAAAGGGUCAAUCCUGACUCUAUCAGUAAAUAUAUUUCAUGAGACCCAGGUGUUUGGGAUCAAAACCAUUUGCUCAAGUGCAGGCCUGUUUUUUACUGACAGUUGCACAUUACUGCCUGUGAGAGGGAAAAGAUUCUUCUCAAUUUUUCUAUUAAUUUCCUUCUCUCUGGACUUUGUAUUUCAGUCUUUUUUCAUCCAUGAAUAAACCUUUACCCAAUCUGGACCAGCUCAGGAUUCUGGGCUUCUCUGGGAAGAUCCAUUCAUGUUUUAGACGCAUCAAGAAGGCUCUGUGGCUUGGGUUCAUUCUUCUUCCACUGAAGGAAGCUACUGAGGUUGCUAAGUGACUGUGGGCAGGGGGAACUCACACUCACUGCUUGCCUGCACUUCUCUGCCCAGGUGUGUGUAAGAUGUUUGACUUCAAGAUUAUGAUUUGCCAUUGGUGGCGGCUUACUGAUGACCGCAUUUGUGCUGAUAGGCGUUGUCAUCUGUCUUUACUCCAAAGCAGCUGACACAUUAAAGUGAGUGAUGUGGGUAAGAGUGGCUAACACCCCCCCAGAUGGGAUCCUGGGGCUCUGUGCUGAGCGGGGUCAUCCCUUGCCCUAUGGCCGCACCCUGGGUGAGGUCAGGAACAGCAGGAGGGUUUGAGACGACCAAGGCAGUGCGUGUAGAAUCUUGGCUUCUUCCCCUUCUGGUUUGGGGCUGUGAGCUCGUAAGUAGAAUGUUCUCAGCCAGGUGGCUCUGUGCUGCCUUGUCACUUGACCUCAUUGAGUUUACCCUCAGCUGGCUGAUUGCACACUGGCUGGCCCCGCUCUGUUCAGGCUCUGCAGACUGGGGACUGUCGGGGAGACUGUGUGAAUGCGUCUCUGCCUCUGUUCACCCAGAGGACGGGCUGAGCUGACCUCCUCUUGCCUGAGUUGGGGAGCUCUCAGGGUGUCCUCUCAUUUGUGGCCUUGGGUACGGUGAGGGGGGCCUACAGGACUCUGGGGAAGCGCCUGAGGAAGCUGACAAGGGAGUGUAGAUCAGACAAGAGAGCAUUAAAUUGCGGGGAAAGAAACCUUCAAACAUGGGAGAGAUUGGUUGUCAGAAGCAGUGGUGUUCCCAUUCUAGGGAAGUUAGGCCUGUGUGCUGGAAGGUGAAUCCCAGCACCCAGGGGACGGCUGACUUUGGCACCUGUCAUGCUCUGCACUUGGAGGACUUGCAGUGAUCAUCUCGUGACCCACACUUGCAAUUCACUCUCCCUUAUUUGCUGUAACCUGAUUAUACAUUUCUGGCAAUCAUAGGAGAGAAAGGGAUUAGACAGGAACUUGGGACGGGGGCAGAGCACUUUGGGCUGGUGUCAUGUGUUUGAUUGGCUCCAGCCCCAAACUUUCCAGAUACCCCUGACAAUUGUAACAGAUGGCCUGAAAUGAAAAAUUCUAAUUCCAUGCUUUGUGUAUAUUUUUCUGAAGUGUUGCAAAGGCCCCUGUUGCUAUGACCAUAACCAAGAGCAAUCGAGACAAGGUCACCGGGGCUACAAACUCCAUCUCUGAGUCUUAUCCCAGCCUCCAGUGCUGUGAAGAAUGUAGCUUUCCUGCCGAAUUUGACCCCCUGCCAUCGUGCUUCUGUGACAUAAACAAGGGACUCUGAAUACAGAAUGAGUAGUAGAAGGUGUCUGUAAAUACCAACUGCUACCAUCUGAGCAGUUACAGAAACAAGGAUUGUCAUAUUUCCUCCUUAUUUGUUAUGAAUAUAUUAUGAAGAAUUCGGGAAAGGUCAAAAGGAGACAGGAGACGCCAGUCCAUGUCCUACCAGCCUCCCAGAAUCCUUCUCGCUGGAAUCCAUCUCGGCUGAGCAAUGCGCGUGCCACCAGGAAGGACCCUGAGUCAGACCAGAUACGGGCCAAGCAAAAUGAUUGGCCAGAGACCACCCCGAAACUAACCCCAUCACCAUAAACCCUGAGACUGCGAGCCACGUGGCAGAGCAGUCCUCCUGGGUUCCCUUACCCUGCCGUUCUCCGCCCGGGCACCCCUUCCCAAUAAAGUCUCCUGCGUUGUCAGCACGUGUGUCUCCUUGGACUAUCGAUUUCCGAGUGUUAGACAAGAGUCCGCUCUCGGGCCCUGGAAGGGGUCCCCCUUCCUGCAACGGAUCCAACACUCCCGCACGAACAUCCCUCCAUCUCAGCCUCCUGCAGCUCUGAGUUAGCAGGUCUGGCUUUGCCUCCACCUCGCUUACCCUUGUGUGUGGCAUAUAAUUCCUCCAAACCCCGUUUUCCUUGUCUGUAAAAUGGAGGUAAUAGGACCCACUUGAUAGGCUUGUUCUGAAGAUUCAAUGGGAUGUUGAAGAGGAAACAUCUUAAUUUAGAGACAAAUACGGUAAAAAUAUAAGUUUCUCCUGAGAGGAUAAGCCUCCAAGCAAUACAGUGCUCACCACUGAGACCGAAUUUGC